UUUAUUCUAUGUGCAUUUUUUUUCUGUUUUGUUUGUUUUGAGACAUCACAUGACUUCAGUGAAACUACAAAGUCAAAAGGCACAUCUGUCCUCAAUUUAACAAUAUCUUCAAGAUUGGGGGAGUUUCUCAAAACACCUACAAGUUGGACAAUUCAUUGAAAGGGCUCACUAAAAGACUUUAUCAUCAUGGUCACAAUUUGUGACAGUCAAAGGAAGACUUUCAUGAGAGAGUCUAGGACUCUACACUUGAAACUUCUGUUUCCUGAGGAUGUGCUGUUUUGCAACAAAGACCCAUGACAAAGACCAAAAGCAUUACAAGACCAGAAUUUCACACUUUGGAGACCAGGGUUGGACUGAUUUUCCACAUGAUUGGCCAACAGCCUGAGAAUUUCUGGAUGGGUCUCUGUGAAGAAUAAACAAACAGGAAGAUGGUGCAGACAGGAAAAUAAGGACAGAACUCAAAAGUUCAACAUCUAUGAGCAAGUCGUAAAUAAAACAUGACUGACAAUCAAAAGCAAGGACUUGUGCCUUUUAUGUCCCAGUAACUGAAAACUGAGAAGCCACAGGUGCACCGUAGAUGUCUGACUCAGAUGGCACAAGUGGCUCUUUGGGGAAGAGACAGGAAAUUCAUCUAUGCAUCUGGAAAAAAAGGUUUCUUAGCAGCUUGUGUUCAGACUUUUAGUGUUAUCUUCAUACUUCAAAGGCCUUCUCUGAGAAGAAAAUAUAUUAUAAACAUAGCUAAAACAACUUCACAAACUUGACAAAAUGAACAAGAGACCGGAGACAGUGGAAAAACCCCUUCUUGUUGAAAUCUUUGCAUAUGGCAGAAGAUGUAACAGCAUUGUGGCCAUCAGGAACAGGUGAC
rnacentral:lncRNA from 1 species